rnacentral:lncRNA from 1 species
AGUAUAUUCUUCAACAUGGUAUUAGAGCUAGGGUUUUGAGGCUCCAUCUCAAUCGCCGCCGCCGUCGCCGCCGCCAACCACCCGUGAACGCCUCCAUCCCGAAUCGUCUCGAUACCUCCAGGAAGAGCUGCGUCCCGAAUCGUCUCCAUCCCGCAUCCUCAUCUCGCGCCUCGCAGCUGUUCCGCCACAUCUCGACACCGUCUCCGUCAUCCUCGUCGCGCCGAUUAGUCGCAGCCUCGAUCUGUCUCAGGUGUCCAUUUCCGCUCCGAUCUGUCUCCAUCCGCGAAGCGCCUGUCUACGCCGCUCCGAUCUGUCUCCAUCCGCGAAGUGGAUCUACGCCGCUCCGAUCUGUCUCCAUCCGCGAAGUGCAGUCGCAGCCUCGAUCUGUCUCAGGUGUCCAUUUCCGCUCCGAUCUGUCUCCGAUCUGUCUCGAAUCUACGCCGCUUCGAUCUGUCUCCGAUCUGUCUCCGCUCCGAUCUGUCUCCAUUCGCGAAGUGCAGUCUAGGUUGUGCUUCACCCUUGCAGUUCGCCGUCUCCGCUCCGAUCUGUCUCAAGCCGAGCCGUCUAGGUCCUCGCCGCCGCAUGUGCUUCACCCUUGCAGUUCGUCGUAACCCAGAUCCGUCGCUGCAAUCGUCGGUCGGUUCGUGAAGCAAGCCAUACGCGUCACCUUGCAGCAGUCGUCCAGAUCUGCGUCGCCGUGCCCAUUCCUUUCCUCUCCGUUCGUGAAGACCUGCUGCGCAAUCUCUGUCUCCGUCAAGGCAAAUCUCAGCCGCCAAAUACAGUAAAACCCAAAUCUGACGAAUCCAGUCACGAUUCAGUCAAAACUCGGCCGAAAAUCCGCAUUGUUAACCUCAAAAUCAAAAUGGAGAGAGACCAUAUCUUUAGACCCAUUUCUACAAUACUUGAUGGUACAAAUUAUAUCACAUGGGCAAAUCAAAUGAAAAGUUUUUCUUAUUGGAAGAAAACUAUGGCGCAUUGUAACUGGCGACAUCACCAAACCAACUGCAAAGGAAGGGGAUAACACAUUCAUUGAACGUCUCGAAGAUUGGGACAGUAAAAAUCAUCAAAUUAUCACCUGGCUUGGUAACACCUCUAUUCCCGCUAUACAUGCACAGUUUGAUGCCUUUGAUGAUGCUAAAAUAUUAUGGGAUUUUUUGUCUACACGCUUCAAGUCUAUUGGUUUAGCCCAUUAUUACCAACUGCACAGUACACUUGUAAAUCUAAAUCAAGAUAUUGGUCAGUCUGUUAAUGAAUAUUUGGCAGUUCUUCAACCCAUUUGGACUCAACUUGACCAAGCGAACAUCAGCAAAGAUCAUCUUCGCCUUAUUAAAGUCCUUAUGGGAUUACGUCCAGAAUAUGAAUCUGUUAGAGCUGCUUUACUACACCGGAAUCCCUUACCCUCAUUAGAUGCAGCUAUUCAAGAAAUUCUGUUUGAAGAAAAGCGUCUUGGCAUCAACUCUACUAAACAAUCUGAUGUUGUCCUUGCCAGCACAUACACUCCCAACAGAGCCGCAAAUAUGUUUUGUAAGAAUUGUAAGCUCUCUGGUCACAAAUUUAGUAACUGUCCUAAAAUAGAGUGCAGGUACUGCCAUAAACAUGGCCACAUUCUGGAUAACUGCCCUACCAGACCACCCCGACCUCCUGGCACUUCCACAAAAGAGAAAAUUUUUACCAAACAUGGUUCCUCAUCUGUUGUUGCUGCGACCUCGGAUGAUUCAUCCCUCAUUCAGAUAAGUGAUCUUCAGAGCUUAUUGAAUCAACUAAUUUCAUCAUCCUCCGCUCUGGCUGUUUCAUCAGGUAAUCGAUGGCUUCUUGAUUCUGCCUGUUGUAAUCAUAUGACCUCUGACUCUUCUCUUAUGUCUACUUCUAGCCCUACAAAAUCUUUACCUCCUAUUUAUGCUGCUGAUGGUAAUUGUAUGAACAUCUCUCAUACUGGUACCAUUGAUACUCCCAGUGUACAUCUUCCCCAUACUUACUGUGUUCCUAACCUGACCUUUAAUCUAGUGUCUGUUGGUCAAUUAUGUGAUCUUGGCUUAAAUGUUUCAUUUUCUCCCAAUGGUUGUCAGGUUCAGGAUCCGCAGACGGGACAGACGAUUGGAACGGGUCGCAAAGUGGGAAGAUUGUUUGAGCUCACAUCACUUCGGGUUUCAUCUCCUUCUUCCAUCUCUGCUUCGGUCACUGAUUCUGACACAUAUCAGUGGCAUCUUCGUCUUGGUCAUGCUUCCUCUGAAAAACUUCGUCAUUUAAUUUCUGUUAACAAUUUGACUAAUCUUACUAAAUUUGUUCCUUUUAAUUGUUUGAAUUGCAAACUUGCUAAACAACCUGCCUUAUCUUUUUCUCAAUCCAUCUCUAAUUGUGAUAAACCUUUUGAUUUAGUGCAUUCUGAUAUUUGGGGUCCUGCCCCAAUUACUACUGUUCAUGGUUAUCGCUACUAUGUUUUAUUCAUUGAUGACUACUCUCGAUUUACAUGGAUUUACUUUCUAAAACAUCGUUCUGAAUUAUCUCGCACAUAUAUUGAGUUUGCUAACAUGAUUCGCACUCAAUUUUCCUCUCCCAUCAAAAUUCUUCGCACUGAUAAUGCUUUGGAAUAUAAAGAUUCCAUCCUUCUUUCUUUUCUUUCCCAACAGGGCACUAUUGUUCAGCGCUCUUGCCCUCAUACCUCUCAACAAAAUGGACGUGCUGAGCGCAAACAUCGUCACAUUCUUGACUCAGUACGUGCCCUCCUUCUUUCUGCCUCUUGUCCAGAAAAAUUCUGGGGUGAAGCUGCCCUUACAUCAGUAUAUACAAUCAAUCGUCUCCCUUCCUCUGUCCUUCAAAACACCUCUCCGUUCGAA